rnacentral:rRNA from 1 species
CCUACGGGUGGCAGCAGUGAGGAAUAUUGGUCGAUGGCCGGAAGGCUGAACCAGCCAUGCCGCGUGAAGGUCAGUGCCCUAUGGGCGUUAAACUUCUUUUGUGCGGGAGCAAUAAUGGUCACGUGUGGCCAGACGAGGGUUCCGUACGAAUAAGCAUCGGCUAACUCCGUGCCAGCAGCCGCGGUAAUACGGGGGAUGCAAGCGUUAGCCGGAUUUAGUGGGUUUAAAGGGUGCGUAGGCUGUUAGGUAAGUCAGCGGUGAAAUGCCCCCGCUCAACGGGGUGAAGGGCCAGUGAUACUGCCUGGCUGGAAUGAGGAUGCCGUGGGAGGAAUGUGUGGUGUAGCGGUGAAAUGCAUAGAUAUCACACAGAACACCGAUUGCGAAGGCAUCUCCCGAAUCCGCGAUUGACGCUGAUGCACGAAAGCGUGGGUAUCAAACAGGAUUAGAUACCCCUGUAGUC